rnacentral:rRNA from 1 species
GACGAAGGGGGCUAGCGUUGUUCGGAAUUACUGGGCGUAAAGCGAGUGUAGGUGGUUGUCCAAGUUGGAUGUGAAAGCCUUGAGCUCAACUCAAGAAAUGCAUUCAGGACUGGGCGGCUAGAGGACCGGAGAGGAUAGUGGAAUUCCCAGUGUAGUGGUGAAAUACGUAGAGAUUGGGAAGAACACCAGUGGCGAAGGCGGCUAUCUGGACGGUUUCUGACACUAAGACUCGAAAGCGUGGGGAACAAACAGG